GCCCCGACUACACCACUGUGUUCCAGGUGCACAGGACAUGAAAUUAAGUUUAUUUAACCUCAUUGUUUCUUGACAAUUUUGUCCAUGAUACACUGGUUAUGAUAUGUGUGGCAGGUGGAGGUCGGUAAGUGAUUAUUAGGCAUUAGGUUAUUCAUUGGUUGGUGCUGAUAGAGGAGGUUGGAUUAUGUCUAUAUAAACAACAUGCAUGUGUGACCUAAACGAGCGUCACUUCCCGGGAUCCCGUUUCGCUUCCGGUUUAUGGAUUGAGGGCUGUUGUGAUUUUGGUACGUGAAACAACUAUCGCUAUGCAUCUCUUUUAAAACAUGGAUUAUACAUGUCGGUUUUCUGCAGCUUCGCAGGAUAAUCGCAGCAACUGUAGGCAUCUCCGUGGCUGCAGAUAUCGUGGCUUUGACGUAUUGUUCGUGGUGUGUGUCUCACAUCUGUUUAUGCGACCAUAUUCAGGCAAUGUUAUGCAUGUUAAUGUUUGUAAUGGCGUGCUGAUGUACUUGCGUUUCGGUAGUAGCUCGUGCGUUUAUUGUAGUCAAUACAAUGCCGUGUAUGGGCGGAUGACGACUGUUAUUUUCCCUCGUGUAUCCUGAGCUUAUCCUGAAUGAUUAAACUGAAACUAUACUUCGCAUUGCAACUAUGGAUUAUUAUCUUCACCUCUACUGACUCCCGGGUCCCUGCGCCUGUUAUAUGGAGCUGCAGACCUUUUCUGAAGAGCAGGGCUGAAGUAUUUAGGUGGUGAUGGUGUUUCCUCACGGACUGCUGUGAUUUACCGUGUGCACUGGGGCUUUUGGGAGUGGUGUAAGUUUGCAGUGUACGUAGAGUAAAGGCCUGUACGGCCGGUCAUUUAGCCUAGGCUGCAGUUCCUUGUGUUGUCUUUUCUGGACCAUUUGUGUGAUUGUGGUUUUACAAGUGAAUGCAUUUUAGAUUUCCUUGGUCAUUACAUUCAAUAAACAGUGUUCCAUUUUUAUACCAGUACCUCUGUCUCCAUUGUCAAUUUGCCACAAAGUGGGGAACUUGUGCACAGUAUUGUCAAUUAAUUCCUUGGGUGAGAUUCCCAGGGUUGCGUAGUCGGGCAUUGUUAACCCUUUAGGGUUCUUAAAUCAUUUAAAUUCAUACCCUCCCUCUGCCAUCUGGCCACAAACGCAUGUAUAUACAGUUGCAUGUUGUCCAUGAUAUUCUUGUGUGUUAUGCAUGUAUGUACUGUACAGCUGCAUGUUACUUUGUAGGAUGUGAACUAGAGCAAUGUCCUUUUACAAACCUCUCAGAACAGAUGUGUUUGAUUGUACAGAUACAAUUGUACAGAAGAUGAAAUGGAUAAAUAAAGAAACUCCUCUGGAGAGUAGAAAGUUUGUUGUCACUAACUGCAUGUGCAUUUGAUUGUUAAAGGUCAAUGUUUCUGUUACUGAAUCUACUCUAAAACAUGACUGAGAUUACGGAUGUCUCUGACGUUUGAGUUACUGUAACGCUAUUCUGUUCCCACUAGAACUGUAACAUUCAGGAUUUCAUCAACACAUUUUACCUGCCAGCAUUUGUUUAUGAUUUUUAGGUCAUAUAUAUAUAUACACACACUAGAUGUCGCCUUUUAUAGGGCAGUACAUUGGAACGAAUGCGUCAGCUGAGCCGCCAUCUUCUUAAUGCAUUAGGGUCAAUGUAGGCAAAGAAAUAAAAUCACCAUAUAUCGUCA